rfam:Candidatus Thrbacteria bacterium RIFCSPHIGHO2_12_FTLL_57_11 rifcsphigho2_12_scaffold_4296, whole genome shotgun sequence.
AGUUGGCUGUGCCAUUUUAGAAGCCACAAGCGCAGCCCUCGAUGGAAACAUCGGGGUGUCCUCGAGGUGAAUUGCUGGAAGCCUACAUCCCGAGUUUCAGAGGGACACGGUAAUCAGCAGCCAAGCCUGCUCAGGUUUUUUUCGCGAAAAACUUGCGCAGGAAGGUUCAGAGACUAGGGCUUAGCCCGUACCCCCACACCUUUGGCAUAAAAGGUGUGGGGGGAAGCGCCUCGCACCCAAGGUCUCCGGCAACGGAGAAUCCGGGUGAAGAUAUAGUCCAUGCCCCAUGGAAACAUGGGG